rnacentral:rRNA from 1 species
AACGGCCAUACCAUGCUGCAUAUACCGGUUCUCGUUAGAUCACCGAAGUCAAGCAUCAUUGGGCGCGGUCAGUACUUGGGUGGGUGACCACCUGGGAACACCGCGUGCCGUU